AGUCGAGGGGCAGCAUCAUCAAAGCUUGCUUUGAUGGAUGGCGACCGGCGCACGGGUGAGUAACACGUAUCCAACCUGCCGACAACACUGGGAUAGCCUUUCGAAAGAAAGAUUAAUACCGGAUGGUAUAGUUUUCCCGCAUGGGAUGAUUAUUAAAGAAUUUCGGUUGUCGAUGGGGAUGCGUUCCAUUAGGCAGUUGGCGGGGUAACGGCCCACCAAACCUACGAUGGAUAGGGGUUCUGAGAGGAAGGUCCCCCACAUUGGAACUGAGACACGGUCCAAACUCCUACGGGAGGCAGCAGUGAGGAAUAUUGGUCAAUGGACGAGAGUCUGAACCAGCCAAGUGGCGUGAAGGAUGACUGCCCUAUGGGUUGUAAACUUCUUUUAUACGGGAAUAAAGUGAGCCACGUGUGGCUUUUUGUAUGUACCGUAUGAAUAAGGAUCGGCUAACUCCGUGCCAGCAGCCGCGGUAAUACGGAGGAUCCGAGCGUUAUCCGGAUUUAUUGGGUUUAAAGGGAGCGUAGGCGGGUUGUUAAGUCAGUUGUGAAAGUUUGCGGCUCAACCGUAAAAUUGCAGUUGAUACUGGCGACCUUGAGUGCAACAGAGGUAGGCGGAAUUCGUGGUGUAGCGGUGAAAUGCUUAGAUAUCACGAAGAACUCCGAUUGCGAAGGCAGCUUACUGG
rnacentral:rRNA from 1 species